UACGUGGGGUGCAAGCGUUAUCCGGAUUUACUGGGCGUAAAGCGUGCCGUCGGUGGCUACGUAAGUCUUUCGUUUAAGCCUGGGGCCCAACUCCAGAAAAGCGGGGGAAACUACAUAGCUUGAGUCUGUUCGGGGAACUUAGAAUUCUCGGUGGAGGGGUGAAAUCCGUAGAUAUCGAGAGGAAUACCAUACGCGAAGGCAGAGUUCUAGGACACGACUGACACUCAGGGACGACAGCUCGGGGAGCAAAGUGG
rnacentral:rRNA from 1 species